AACUUUCAGCAACGGAUCUCUUGGCUCUCGCAUCGAUGAAGAACGCAGCGAAAUGCGAUAAGUAAUGUGAAUUGCAGAAUUCAGUGAAUCAUCGAAUCUUUGAACGCACCUUGCGCUCCUUGGUAUUCCGAGGAGCACACCUGUUUGAGUGUCAU
rnacentral:rRNA from 1 species